rnacentral:rRNA from 2 species
CCGGUAAACGGCGGCCGUAACUAUAACGGUCCUAAGGUAGCGAAAUUCCUUGUCGGGUAAGUUCCGACCUGCACGAAUGGCGUAAUGAUGGCCAGGCUGUCUCCACCCGAGACUCAGUGAAAUUGAACUCGCUGUGAAGAUGCAGUGUACCCGCGGCAAGACGGAAAGACCCCGUGAACCUUUACUAUAGCUUGACACUGAACAUUGAGCCUUGAUGUGUAGGAUAGGUGGGAGGCAACGAAGUGUGGACGCCAGUCUGCACGGAGCCAUCCUUGAAAUACCACCCUUUAACGUUUGAUGUUCUAACCCGGGUCCAUAAUCUGGAUCGGGGACCGUGUCUGGUGGGUAGUUUGACUGGGGCGGUCUCCUCCCAAAGAGUAACGGAGGAGCACGAAGGUUGGCUAAGCAUGGUCGGACAUCAUGCGGUUAGUGCAAAGGCAUAAGCCAGCUUGACUGCGAGAGUGACGGCUCGAGCAGGUACGAAAGUAGGUCUUAGUGAUCCGGUGGUUCUGAAUGGAAGGGCCAUCGCUCAACGGAUAAAAGGUACUCCGGGGAUAACAGGCUGAUACCGCCCAAGAGUUCAUAUCGACGGCGGUGUUUGGCACCUCGAUGUCGGCUCAUCACAUCCUGGGGCUGAAGUAGGUCCCAAGGGUAUGGCUGUUCGCCAUUUAAAGUGGUACGCGAGCUGGGUUUAGAACGUCGUGAGACAGUUCGGUCCCUAUCUGCCGUGGGCGCUGGAAGAUUGAGAGGGGUUGCUCCUAGUACGAGAGGACCGGAGUGAACGCACCACUGGUGUACGGGUUGUGAUGCCAAUUGCAUUGCCCGGUAGCUAAGUGCGGAAGAGAUAACCGCUGAAAGCAUCUAAGCGGGAAACUUGC